rnacentral:lncRNA from 1 species
UUGACCCCUCUCACAAAUUUCAAUGCUUAGUACAGUAUCUGGCAUAUAGUGGGUGCUAAAUACUUCUUUGUUUUAUUCAUUGUUGAUCUGAGAAUUAGUUUUGAACUAUCUAGUGUAGGCUGGGCUCUGUGCUAGACAUUGAGAAUACAACAGUGAACCAGGCAGGCAGUCAUCUGGAGGUGACAGAUAUGUAGAUGAGUAAUUACAUUCUAGCAAGAUUUUGGCAGUUCUGGGGUGGAGAGGUGGUGGGACCACAGAAGACAGAUCAGCCAGCUCUACCUGGAGGAGGAGAAUGCCUGCAGCCUUUGCAUUGAGUCUUGGUGGAGGAGGAAGGGUCCCUCACGUGGAGGAUGGAAACACGGGUGUUCCAAGCAGAGGAAACAGCAUGUGCACAGUCACGGAGGGCUGUUUGUUGUCCAAAAAGCCUUUUUCCCUAAGCUUGAAAGCUUAACUUCUCAGAAGCAGGAAGCUGCCUUUUGCCAAGAGUAAAUGGGUGAGAAGUCCAAAGGUCUUGGUUUUGAAGUAUGUGCAACGAAUGUUCAAACAGGUUCUGAACAGAGCCAAAUCUACUUUUCUAUCUCCAAGAAAUCUCGAGAGAGCCAUGGGGCGGAAGUUUCAAGGAACAACGUCUCGUCCCAAACCGCAUGAAAUUGCAUUCCAAUCAGAAGCAUGGCCAAACCCACCAGAACGCAAAACGCAGGGAUGGAAGGACACUGACGACGAUGACCUUGUGAAAUGAGAGAAUUGUCUUGAAAGGGAGCGUUGUUACGGAAGAUGCUGAUUUCGGCAUUCCCUGUCUGAAGUGCUAACUAACCUCAUUGGGUUUUUGCUCUGCACCAGGUACUGAUAUCUAUACUUUUCCUGUGUAUUCACUUACUUGAUACCUGAUGGAGGAGGUAUUUUUCAGAGGAGAAAACUGAGUCAUGGACAAAGUCAGUGACGUGCCCGAGAUCGUUCAUCUAAGAUGUUGCAGAGCUGGGACUUGAACCUAGUUUGUCUGCCUCUGGGAUCUGAGCUGGUAAACAUCACAUGGCACUUUGUGGCUCGUUUGUGACUGGUCCGUCCAUUGGUGGAAAAUGGUUAGAAGUCCUACUCUGUGCCCCUCUGUGUGCCAGUACUUGGAGAUACUUCCUCCAGAUACUUCCCCAUGAAACUUAAUCUGGUGGUGGAAGACAAACAUAAAACAAAUAAUUGAUUUGAGCUCUGAGAAGUGCCACAAAGGCAACGCACAGGUAUAAUGAUGGGGGAGGGAGGGGUGGCACUUGGUCUGGGAAGUAGGGGAAAACUGUCUCUGUAAGGGACAUUUUAUCUCAGACCGGAAGACUGUUGUUAUGGGUUCAAUUCCAUCCUCUUCUCCCCAGCAUUCAUUUGUCAAAGUCCUAGCCCCUAGACCUCAGAAUGUGACCUUAUUUGGAAAUAGUGUUGUUGCUGAUGUAAUUAGUUAAGAUGAGGUUAGAGUAGAGUAGGAUGGGCCCCUGCUAUAAUAUGACUGGUAUCUUUAUAAAAAGGGGAAAUUUAGAGACAGACACACACACACAGGGAGAAGGACAUGAGAACAGGAGGCAGAGAUGAGGCUGGUAUUUCCACAAGCCAAGGAGUGCCAAAAACUGCCAGCAAAUCACCUUCAAAAGGAGCAUGACAUCUUGAUCUUGGACUUUCACAUUCCAGAACUGUGUUUUUAUCCACUCCCAUUGUGGUACCUUGUCAUGGCAGCCCUAGCAAACGAAUGCAGAGGGGAAGGUGCCAGUCAGGUGAGGAGGGAGUGGAGAGUAGGAGAGAGGGAAAAAGAAACAAAACCCAGGAAGAAGAGCUAGCAUGUGCAAAAUCCCCAACGGAGGAAGGAGCGUGACACAUUUGGGAAGGUGGAACCAGGGAGAGGGGAGGGUGGAAGAUGAAGCAGGUGGAACCAGAUUCUGGCGUCUCUAAUACACAACGUGGCAUUUCUAUGAAGGACGAUGUGAAACCAGUGAAGGGUUUUAACCAAGGGGCAACCAUAAUUGGAUCUGAAUUUUAAUAUCAUUGUUCUGUUGCUGUGUGGAAACUGAAUUUUGGGGGUGGUAGGAAAGAAUAAAUGUAGAACAGUUUAGAACCUAUUGUGUUUGUGCCCAGGAGUUUCAGCCGAAUUCUUCAGAUUGGUUAUUCUUCCAAACAGGCCAUUUUCCUCAAGCCAUUUCCCUACUCAGUACUCAGACACAUUCAUUGUUUACAGUGUACCAGGCUCUGAAACUGUGCUAUCCAAUAUGGUAGCCACUGGCCACGUGUGGCUCAUUUAAAUUAAAAUUAAAGACCAGUUGCUCUGUCUCACUGAGACGUGCCUAUGUGCUCCCUAGCCACAUCAUUCACUGAAAGUUCUGUUAGACAGCUCUGGUCUAGGGAAACACAGAGGAACAGGGCAUCAUCCCGUCCUUGUUUUUAGAGCAGUGAAAGAACUCGAGACAACUGGAUUUCGUAGACCAGCAAGAACUUUUUUUGUUUUUAAGUAUACUUUAAGUUUU